rfam:Cavia porcellus supercont2_65 genomic scaffold, whole genome shotgun sequence.
GGUGUAGCUCAGUGGUAGAGCACUUGCUUAUCAUGCUCAAGGGCCUGGGUUUCAUCCCCAGCACC